AAUAGAUCUCUCAGAACUGGAAGCUGAUGAGGCAGAAGGUAGGUACUUUAUUUAUUUAUGGGGUCUCUCUCUGUCUCUGUCUCUCUUGAUCUAUCUCUCUGUGUGUACAAUGUUGAGAAUUCAUCCCACGCCUACCCUGUGAGUGCCAAGAGAGUGCUCUGUCACUGAGCCACACUCCCCAGUGCUCACAGGCAUUUUCUUUUACAAAGACCUAUUUUUAAUUAUGUGUAGCCUGCACAUUGUGCACUUGAGCGCCAGUGCCUUUAGACACCAGCAGAGGACAUCAGAUUGCAUACAGCUGGAGUUACAGACAAUUGUGAGCCUCACGAUAUGGGGCCUUGGAACCAAUCCUCUGAAAAGAACAGUAUUCACUCCUAACCACGUGCUGAGCUCAGAGACGUGAGCCACGGUGCUAGUCU
rnacentral:lncRNA from 1 species